CAGCGCCGCGGUAAUACGUAGGGUGCGAGCGUUAAUCGGAAUUACUGGGCGUAAAGCGUGCGCAGGCGGUUAUAUAAGACAGAUGUGAAAUCCCCGGGCUCAACCUGGGACCUGCAUUUGUGACUGUAUAGCUAGAGUACGGUAGAGGGGGAUGGAAUUCCGCGUGUAGCAGUGAAAUGCGUAGAUAUGCGGAGGAACACCGCUGGCGAAGGCAAUCCCCUGGACCUGUACUGACGCUCAUGCACGAAAGCGUGGGGAGCAAACAGGAUUAGAUACCCGGGUAGUCCCUGUCUCUUAUACA
rnacentral:rRNA from 1 species